rnacentral:rRNA from 1 species
GAUGAACGCUGGCGGCGUGCCUAAUACAUGCAAGUCGAGCGAACAGAUAAGGAGCUUGCUCCUUUGACGUUAGCGGCGGACGGGUGAGUAACACGUGGGUAACCUACCUAUAAGACUGGGAUAACUUCGGGAAACCGGAGCUAAUACCGGAUAACAUUUGGAACCGCAUGGUUCUAAAGUGAAAGAUGGUUUUGCUAUCACUUAUAGAUGGACCCGCGCCGUAUUAGCUAGUUGGUAAGGUAACGGCUUACCAAGGCAACGAUACGUAGCCGACCUGAGAGGGGGAUCGGCCACACUGGAACUGAGACACGGUCCAGACUCCUACGGGAGGCAGCAGUAGGGAAUCUUCCGCAGUGGGCGAAAGCCUGACGGAGCAACGCCGCGUGAGUGAUGAAGGGUUUCGGCUCGUAAAACUCUGUUAUUAGGGAAGAACAAACGUGUAAGUAACUGUGCACGUCUUGACGGUACCUAAUCAGAAAGCCACGGCUAACUACGUG